AACGAACGCUGGCGGCAGGCCUAACACAUGCAAGUCGAACGUGAAGCCACCUUCGGGUGGUGGAAAGUGGCAGACGGGUGAGUAACGCGUGGGAACGUGCAUUUCGGUUCGGAAUAACCCAGGGAAACUUGGGCUAAUACCGGAUACGCCCUUCGGGGGAAAGAUUCAUCGCCGGAAGAUCGGCGCGCGUCGGAUUAGCUAGUUGGUAGGGUAAUGGCCUAUCAAGGCAACGAUCCGUAGCUGGUCUGAGAGGAUGACCAGCCACACUGGGACUGAGACACGGCCCAGACGCCUACGGGAGGCAGCAGGGGGGAAUAUUGGACAAUGGGCGAAAGCCUGAUCCAGCCGUGCCGCGUGGGUGAAGAAGGCCUUAGGGUUGUAAACCCCGUUCAGCGGGGAAGAUAAUGACGGUACCCGCAGAAGAAGCCCCGGCUAACUCCGUGCCAGCAGCCGCCGUAAUAC
rnacentral:rRNA from 1 species